rnacentral:rRNA from 1 species
GGGGGGGGCAAGCGUUGUUCGGAAUUACUGGGCGUAAAGGGCUCGUAGGUGGCCUUCUAAGUCAGACGUGAAAUCCCUCGGCUCAACCGGGGAACUGCGUCUGAUACUGGGAGGCUUGAAUUCGGGAGAGGGACGUGGAAUUCCAGGUGUAGCGGUGAAAUGCGUAGAUAUCUGGAGGAACACCGGUGGCGAAGGCGGCGUCCUGGACCGAUAUUGACACUGAGGAGCGAAAGCCAGGGGAGCAAACGGGAUUAGAUACCCCGGUAGUCCUGGCCCUAAACGAUGAGUGCUUGGGUGUGGCGGGUAUCGAUCCCCGCCGUGCCGAAGCUAACGCGUUAAGCACUCCGCCUGGGGAGUACGGUCGCAAGGCUG